AGCCCAGGAGGGGAUGCUGGGCCCAUGCUGGACAGAAAGAUGUCCAGGGGGGUGAGAGGAGACAGCGCCAUGCAGAGCCCAGAACUGUGCGCAGGUUGCCAGCGAGGAGUUCAGUGGGAAGACUCUGAGGAUGAAGGAGGGGACCUUCUUCUCCCUGAUGGGAAUCUUCCGGGACAUCUUCCUCAUGGGGCUCAUGGCCGCCUCCAGUGGGUACAUGGUGGCCCUCCUGUGCAGGCAUAAGAGGCAGUGCCAGCACCUCCACACCACCAGCCUGUCCCCGAGAGCCUCCCCAGAACUGAGGGCCACCAGGACCAUCCUGCUGCUCAUGGGACUCUUUGUGCUCAUGUACUUUGUGGACUGUGUGUUCUCCUCCUCUUCGGGACAGAUGCACAGCGAGGACCCCACUCGCCUGGGGGUCCAGAUGCUGGCGGGCAAUGGCUACGCCACCCUCAGUGCCUUGAUACUCAUCUGUGCUGAUCCACAGACACUCAGGUUCCUCCAGUGCACAUUAGAAAAGGAGAGGAAGUAUUUAUGCCGGGCUGGGCGACCCGUCAUUUUGUCGUCCCACAUCAUUUAUUUCUAAAUGUCCACAAACGUUUUUAUGUUGAAAAAAAAAAUGGGCUGUUUUGUUACUGUGCCUGCCCAAGGCUGAUACCUUGCACUGUCCAAGUAACACUGCAGAUUCUGUCAUCAAAAUCAUACCUGUAUUCUCCAUGUAUUUUUUCAACUGCAUUUUGUAUUUUAAUUUUGGUCUAUAUUAUUUUAUUUUCAUCUGAAUGAUAAACCCAUCAUGAGGGUAGAAAAGGAAGAAUUAGCCAAUCUUAGCCUGGCUCCUGCACAAGGAUUCAAAUUCAUAAAGCAUGUCACAAUAAAAAUAAAUAAGUAACAGGUACUAUCUGUGCACACACAUUUUAUGUAUAUAUUAACCAUUAAUUACCAUAGUCAUGUUGAGAGGGCAGGGUCUUGCUGAGUUGCUUUAUGCCUUGCUAAGAGGCUGAGGCUGGCUUUGAACCCAUGAUCCUCCUGCCUCAGCCUCCCAUGCUGCUGGGAUUACAGGUGUUGGCCAUUACACCCACCAAUGACCUUUAGUUUAAGUGGCACUCAGGAGUCACAGCAAAAGCUACAGAGAACCCGGAGCUAAAAUGCCAACCCCAGUCCCGCACCCUUCUAUCUCUAAAGCACAGAGGAUGGCAGGUUUUAACCUGUGGUGACGUGGCCUUAACUCAACAAGUCUGGCUGCUGGAUUGAACCCAAGGUCAAUGUGAAAGCUGUUCAGUGGCAGCAUUUGUCACCCCCUGGAGGACAGCCCAAGACACCUUCUUCCUCCACCUAGCGUGUGAAGACUCCAGCUGCAUUUCUGUGGGUACUGCAGGGGGCUCCAUGGUCACUGGUCCCCAAGAAUGAAGGAGGCUGCCAUUCCUCCUGACUCUCAAAAUGUCCACUCUAACCAGAGGAAGAAUGUCCGACAUGGGGGCCUCCAUCUUGCAAGUUACCAACCCUGUGCCAGAAGAUACUCAGAUACUGUUUUCUGCUUCUUAGGAGGAAAUCUUGCUCUGCUGCAGAGGCUGGUCUUGAACCCCUGAGCUCCAGGGAUCCUCCUGCCUCAGCCUCCUGAGUAGCUGGACCCACAGCUGGACCUGCUGGGCCCAGCUCAAACAUGGCAGCAGAUUCAAAGUCGUGCUGAGCCUACGGUAUUGCCUGCCCCUCCAGCAGUGUCUUCUGACCUCACACCACGGGCUGUGACCCUGCACCCCUGGGGCACUGGUCUUGAUUAAAUCCACGAUGCCACGCUGCACGGGAUGGAUCGUGAACUCCAGGGGAGGCGUCUGAGCCCGAGUUCAUAAUGAACGCACCAGCAAACAGACAGACAAUCUCGAAACAUCCACAGAUCAAGUCUGCCCACGCAGGAGGUCAAAAAGGUUGUAGGUGUCAAAUGGACUCAGAAUAGAUUGAUUGUGACUCUGAGGGAACUUGUUGUGAUGUCCAUCAGGCAGGCCCAUAGGAAAGCCCUUCCUCCACCAUCUCCCAGGGCCACUUACUGUUGGAUGGACUGACACAAAGGUACAUCUCAAGUCACAGAAAAGAACUAUCAUCUGAUCCCGUGAAUGCCCACGUCUGGCUGUGUGUGGUUGGACUCUCCUGCCAGGCGUCUGAGACCAAGUUGGACCAUUUUCCUAUCUACUCUGAGAUUUGUGGGGUAUCACUCUUGGGAACCUGGGAGAACCCUCUUGGCCCCUUUCGCUGUUUCUCUACGAGUUGGGCCAUGUGACAGGAUGGGUCAGAGUCUUGCUGAACAACUGUUGCUUCUCUUGAUGUAUCCAAAAAUAUUUCCCUGUCCACUCAGUGACCCUCCUCUGUGCAGAAUGUGCUCUGGCUGGAUUCUGUUUUCUGAGGUCCUUUCAAUCCCUCUGAACACGCUUUUGGGUGCCUCACACCAGUGCUGUAGGGACCUGAGAGGGACACCAUAUCUCCCUGGAUCCUGGCUGACCCCAGAGAGCCAGGGCCCAAAUAUUGGCUUCUAUUUCCUUGACCCUUUUACUUCCUUAACUUUGGUCUCCAGGAUUUGGUUUUAAACAUCGAGCAAGUCAGUUUCUGCAGUCUUGAAGUGGGAGUCCUGGGUUUGCAUUUCAGUGCAUAUCAUUUUAUAGUGACCCCUUCAACUUAAUCAGGGUCAUUGUUAAUACUGAAAGUGGGUUGUAUCUUCUAUCUAAAGGCUAAUUGACUCCACUGAACUCAGGUGUUCUUUUAGAUGCAGUGUUUCUGCAAAAACACCAAACAGGCUACAGCUACAAAGUUUUACAAAGAAAAUACAGAAUGAAAUUAAAAAGAGUAAAAGUGUGUUCAGUUGGUAUAGUAGCUAUGAACCCAAAAAUGCAUUUUAUCCAAAUCUUUUAUGAGUCCCAUAUUAUAUCCCUGGUUCUUUUUUUUUACAUGACAGGAAUCUUUACAAUAAAAAAAUGUAUCUUGUGAA